AACACUUCAGGAUGGUUGGUAACCAUCUGAUGACACAACAGGUUCAUCAUUCCUGAUCCUGCAGACACUUUACUGCAGAGUUUAGUUUCAACUCUAAUAAACAAACCUGAAUCAACUAAUUUGAACCUUUUAUCUUUGUUGGAUCUAACUUAAACUUAACAACUGAUGUACCAUUGAAACUAACAGUCAUUUGUAAAUAGUUUGUAGCAACUAUAGCAAUAUGAAAGGAAACCCACUUAAAGAAAAAGGAAACUGACUUCUCACACUCUGUGAUUUGUUUUGAUAACAGCUCACAGCUAAAAAAAAAAAAACAAAGAAAAAAAGAAAGCCAUUAAUGAUUGGGGGAGGGGGGUGGUACUUUUGAAAAUAGCAGUGUUGAGUUUCAGUUUAGUUUGGGUGAAAUAGAGCUAAAUGGUCAGCUGGUGAGAUUUGAGGAAGUUAACACCCCCAGAAUGAGCUGAUGAUGUUUAAAGGAAGAGCUGUAAAUAUAGAAUGAAAGAAAGACUGACAGAAACAAAAAAGGACUGAUAAUUGUCACAUGUGUCUGCUGGGACUGAUCAUUCUCACAGAAAUCAGGUCAUGUGACAUGCCUGGGUUAGUUUAUAAGAAAACAGAUAAUUCAGCUUUUGGCUCCAAAAACUGAAAUAACUUUCAGAGUAUGUAGCCAUAGCAACCCAUUCUCUGAACAUAUCUGGCUCUGGAGCAGGAUGAGUUUACUUCAGAGGUAUUCAGCACAUGCGUCCCCUGUUAAUGAGGGCCCAGGUGAUGUGACU
ensembl:lncRNA